CCUACGGGUGGCAGCAGUGAGGAAUAUUGGUCAAUGGGCGCGAGCCUGACCCAGCCAAGUAGCGUGAAGGAUGACUGCCCUACGGGUUGUAAACUUCUUUUAUAAAGGAAUAAAGUGAGGCACGUGUGCCUUUUUGUAUGUACUUUAUGAAUAAGGAUCGGCUAACUCCGUGCCAGCAGCGGAGGUAAUACGGAGGAUCCGAGCGUUAUCCGGAUUUAUUGGGUUUAAAGGGAGCGUAGAUGGGUUGUUAAGUCAGUUGUGAAAGUUUGCGGCUCAACCGUAAAAUUGCAAUUGAUACUGGCAGUCUUGAGUACAGUUGAGGCAGGCGGAAUUCGUGGUGUAGCGGUGAAAUGCUUAGAUAUCACGAAGAACGCCGAUGGCGAAGGCAGCUUACUAAACUGCCACUGACAGUGAGGCUCGAAAGUGUGGGUAGCAAACAGGAUUAGAUACCCUUGUAGUC
rnacentral:rRNA from 1 species